rnacentral:rRNA from 1 species
UACGGGAGGGUGCAAGCGUUAGUCCGGAUUCGAUCAUGGGGUUUAAAGGGUGCGUGAGGUUGGGUUGGUAAGUCAGUGGUGAAAUCUCCGUGCUUAACAUGGAACUGCCAUUGAUACUACUUGAUCUUGAAAUUUUCUGGAGGUAAGCGGAAUAUGAUCAUGUAGCUGGUGAAAUGCUUAGAUAUGACAUAGAAACACCAAUUGCGAAGGCAGCUUACUACAGCGAUAAUUGACACUGGAGGCAACGAAAGCCGUGGGGAUCAAACAGG